UCCCAGGUGGCUCAAUGGUAAAGAAUUUGCCUGCCAAGCAGGAGACAUGGGUUCUAUCCCUGUGUUGGGAA
rfam:TPA: Bos taurus chromosome 9, whole genome shotgun sequence.